UUAAAUUUGUAAGGGCGUAUGGUGGAUGCCUUGGCAUUAGAAGCUGAUGAAGGACGUGACUAACUACGAUAUGCUUCGGGGAGAUGUACGUAAUCUUUGAUCCGGAGAUUUCCGAAUGGGGGAACCCACUAGUGGUAAUGCACUAGUAUCACAUAAUGAAUAUAUAGUUAUGUAGAAAGCAACCCAGUGAACUGAAACAUCUUAGUAACUGGAGGAACAGAAAGAAAAAUCGAUUUCCUAAGUAGCGGCGAGCGAAAUGGAAAGAGCCCAAACCAACUUUAGAGUUGGGGUUGUAGGACCUCUCUAUAAGAGUUACAAAUUCAUAACAUAGUUGAACUUUUCUGGAAAGUUAGACGAAACAAGGUGAUAGUCCUGUAAACGAAAUGUUAUGAACUCUUUGAGGUAUCCUGAGUACAACGAGACACGAGAAAUCUUGUUGGAAUCUGCGGGGACCAUCCCGUAAGGCUAAAUACUCUCUAAUGACCGAUAGUGAACAAGUACCGUGAGGGAAAGGUGAAAAGAACCCCGGGAGGGGAGUGAAAUAGAAACUGAAACCGUAUGCUUACAAAAAGUUCGAGCACAUUAAUGUGUGAGAGCGUGCCUUUUGCAGAAUGAACCGGCGAGUUAUUGUAUUAUGCAAGGUUAAGUCGAACAGAUGGAGCCGAAGCGAAAGCGAGUCUGAAUAGGGCGCUUAAGUAUGAUGCAAUAGACCCGAAACCGAGUGAUCUAGCCAUGAGCAGGUUGAAGUUGGGGUAAGACCCAAUGGAGGACCGAACCGAUAUGCCCGGAAACGCGUACGGAUGACUUGUGGUUAGCGGAGAAAUUCCAAACGAACUCGGAGAUAGCUGGUUCUCCCCGAAAUAGGUUUAGGCCUAGCCUUGAUUGAAUCUGCCCGGAGGUAGAGCACUGAAUGUGCGAUGGCGUCGUCUAGAUGUACUGAGUACAAUCAAACUCCGAAUGCUGGGUAGUACUAAUCAGGAGUCACUGUAUGGGUGAUAACGUCCAUACGGGAGAGGAAAAGAAUCCGGAUCGCCAGCUAAGGUCCCAAAAUUUGUGUUAAGUGGGAAAGGAUGUAGAGUUGUCAAAACAGCUAGGAGGUUGGCUUAGAAGCAGCCACCCUUUAAAGAGUGCGUAAUAGCUCACUAGUCGAGUGACACUGCGCCGAAGAUGUACCGGGGCUAAACACAAUACCGAAGCUGCGGACUUGCAUGUAAGUGCAAGUGGUAGGGGAGCGUUCUAAGUGCUGAGAAGGUAGACCGUAAGGACUGCUGGAGCGCUUAGAAGUGAGAAUGCCGGUGUGAGUAACGAAAAUUGGGUGAGAAUCCCAUUCACCGUUUGACUAAGGGUUCCUGGGUAAAGUUCGUCUUCCCAGGGUAAGUCAGGACCUAAGAUGAGGCUGAAAAGCGUAGUCGAUGGACAACAGGUUGAUAUUCCUGUACCACCUAUAUGACUGAAGGAGUGACGGAGAAAGCUAGUGAGAGCCAGUUAAUGGAUUCUGGUUUAAGUGCGUAGGCUAGUAUGUUGGCAAAUCCGCAAUACUAUAACAGCUGAAACAUGAUGGGGAAGAGAGUCUUCGGACAAUCGAACUUUCAUGAUGCUAUGCUUCCAAGAAAAGCUUCUAGGGUUAAUCGUAUAGGUGCCUGUACCGACAACCGACACAGGUGGUCAAGGAGAGUAUCCUAAGGUGAGCGAGAGAACUAUGGUUAAGGAACUCGGCAAAAUGACCCCGUAACUUCGGGAGAAGGGGUGGUCUAGCGAUAGACCCGCAGUGAAUAGGCCCAGGCAACUGUUUACCAAAAACACAGGUCUCUGCUAACACGUAAGUGGAUGUAUAGGGGCUGACGCCUGCCCAGUGCUGGAAGGUUAAAGAGAUUAGUUAGUAUGACGUAAGUCGAUAAUACGAAGCUUUGAACUGAAGCCCCAGUGAACGGCGGCCGUAACUAUAACGGUCCUAAGGUAGCGAAAUUCCUUGUCAGGUAAGUUCUGACCCG
rnacentral:rRNA from 1 species